CUUGUCACUUGAAUGAUGUGGAUGUCAUAGUGAUGUUUGGAAGUGAAGGUUAUGUUGAUAAAUUAGUUAUUAGUCAAUGGAUUAUAAAGUGUGAUUAGCUCCAAUUAAUAAAGGAAAAUUUGGGAACUUAUUCAAGUGUCCAGAAAAAUUAAUUUUAAGUUCUAUCAUUAGAUAUUAAGGUUUCUUGAUUAGAUAGAGGAUAAAUUGGUUAUUAAUAUCGUAUUUCAGGUGGUGGCGAGAAAAUUGGAAACAUUUAUUAGCCAAUCUAGCUUGUAGCUCAUACCUUGUGAGUAGAUAAAACUUAUUUUUCAGAAAUAAGUCUUCUUUAAAUUUUAAAGUUAUUUAUUUUAUAAAGUUGACUUCAUAGCAUGAUUUUUAGAAUAAAAUGGAUUUUAUUAUCAAUUGCUUUUAAAGUUAAAUUCAGUUCAGUUAAAUUAUUUUAGUAGCAUGUUAUAUUCUUAUUACAUGUUUCAGUAUAGUUAAAGUUAUUUCUAAAAACCACCAGAAAGUACCCAGGUGAUUUUACCCCAGUUUGCACUGAUGUGAAUGUGUUUCCACAGUGUAUGACUAGUUAUAGUGAUUUUACCCGCUCUGCACUAUCGUGAAUGUGUUUCCAUAGUGUAUGACCAGAUUAUCAGAGGUCUUUGGAACCCACUCUCGUACACACAUAGGCUUUGGGCCGUGUACUAGGGUGAUUAGCCUUUGGGGCAGCUCUACGUACGUAUGACCAUAUUAUCAGAUUUGAAUGGCUUUGCCUUGUACAUCGAGAUUACUCUGUACAUGAGUAAGGCUAUUCAUUGGGUACUCUUUUUGGUGUGAUUUUUCAGUAUUUAUCCAGUUCUCAGAUUUCAGAUUAUGGAAGUCAGUUAAUUCAGUUUUCAGAAUAAAGCUUUCAGCUUAUACUUUUGAGCAGUAGCAAUAUUUCAUAGAUUUUCACGAAUAUCAAAUUCUUUAUAUUUGCUAUAUCUCACAGAUACUUAUCUAGAAUUUAGAACAAAGAAUUUUAUAAUGUAAUUAUAUUUAGUUUUUAAAAGUAUUACUAGAUUCAGAAAUCCUCAAGGAUUUAAUAAAGUUAAAAUUUUUAGAAAAUAUGCAUAAAUGGAAAAAGUUUACUUAUUUACAAAUCAUCCACUCACUGAGUUACAAACUCAUAUUUUUGUCAUGUUUUUCCUAUCAGGAGACCGUCGAUUUUGAGAUACUGGGAAAAGCAUGUUGAAGCGAAAGAGACCAUUUCAUAGUAUGUAAUGUAUAGUUGGGGAACUCAUGUUUAUUAAGUACUUGUCUAAUAUUUGGUGUGUCAUGCACUUCGUAGAAAGGUUGGUAAUUAAUGUAAUGCUUGCAUGUUGACAAGAUGAUGUUGUAGAAGCACUCAAUCGAAUUUUGUUAUAUUUUGUAGUAGUUGUGGUGGUAUUAGAGGAAGUGGUGGUUUCUAAAACUUUUGGUUUAAAUGUCUAUUUGAGAUUUUGAUGAUUUUUCAGGUUGGUUUUGUCCAUGUUACAGGGAAAACUCUGUCAAAAUUUUUAUAGAAUUAUGUCAUGGUCAAGUAGGUCACGUUUGCCUUGGUGGUGGGUCCG
rnacentral:lncRNA from 1 species